rnacentral:rRNA from 1 species
CCCCAGUAAACGGCGGCCGUAACUAUAACGGUCCUAAGGUAGCGAAAUUCCUUGUCGGGUAAGUUCCGACCCGCACGAAAGGCGUAACGAUUUGGGCACUGUCUCAACAACAGACUCGGUGAAAUUGUAAUUCCGGUGAAGAUGCCGGAUACCUGCGACAGGACGGAAAGACCCCAUGGAGCUUUACUGUAGCUUGACAUUGGGUCUUGGUACUACAUGUACAGGAUAGGUGGGAGGCUUUGAAACCAGGACGCCAGUUUUGGCGGAGCCAUCCUUGGGAUACCACCCUUGUAGUACUGGGACUCUAACCAUAGGCCAUGAAUCUGGUCUUGGGACACUGUCAGGUGGGCAGUUUGACUGGGGCGGUCGCCUCCCAAAAGGUAACGGAGGCGCUCAAAGGUUCUCUCAGUACGGUCGGAAAUCGUACGUAGAGUGUAAAGGCAAAAGAGAGCUUGAUUGCAAGACAUACAGGUCGAGCAAGGAUGAAAAUCGGACUUAGUGAUCCGGUGGUUCUGCGUGGAAGGGCCAUCGCUCAACGGAUAAAAGCUACCCUGGGGAUAACAGGCUUAUCUCCCCCAAGAGUCCACAUCGACGGGGAGGUUUGGCACCUCGAUGUCGGCUCAUCACAUCCUGGGGCUGUAGUAGGUCCCAAGGGUUGGGCUGUUCGCCCAUUAAAGUGGUACGCGAGCUGGGUUCAGAACGUCGUGAGACAGUUCGGUCCCUAUCCGUCGCAGGCGUAGGAAAUUUGAGAAGACCUGUCCUUAGUACGAGAGGACCGGGAUGGACGUACCUCUGGUG